GGGGCUGAACCACUGCGCAGGCAGAG
rnacentral:piRNA from 1 species